CCUACGGGUGGCAGCAGUGAGGAAUAUUGGUCAAUGGACGAGAGUCUGAACCAGCCAAGUAGCGUGAAGGAUGACUGCCCUAUGGGUGGUAAACUUCGUUUAUAUGGGAAUAAAAUGUUCCACGUGUGGGAUUUUGUAUGUACCAUAUGAAUAAGGAUCGGCUAACUCCGUGCCAGCAGCCGCGGUAAUACGGAGGAUCCGAGCGUUAGCCGGAUUUAUUGGGUUUAAAGGGCGCGUAGGUGGUUUCUUCAGUCAGUUGUUAAAGUUGGCGGCUCAACCGUAAAAUUGCCGUUGAAACUGGCAGUCUUGAGUACAGUAGAGGUGGGCGGAAUUCGUGUUGUAGCGGU
rnacentral:rRNA from 1 species